rnacentral:rRNA from 1 species
AUGAUGCAAAUUCCUCUGCUGAAGUAUGUUGACAGGAACAAAAAUGUCUCUGUCUGGAGCAUAUCCAGAGCUAGUCAGUGGAGUGAUAGACUGUGUAUUGCAUCUGAUGGGAAGUGGAUGUCAUGGCUUAUCAGCUGGAACCAGGAGUUUCCAUCUUCUAACCGCCUUUUUGUGUCUCCCCGUACACAAACAGCUCUGCAAGGUUUCGCGCAGAAGGAAAAAGUGACAUACUGGCUUCAGAGCCAUGCAAAAGUGGAGGUUGUAUCUGUAUACAAUUUCGGGAAUAUUGUGGUUAAAUCCUUUAACUAUGAUAGAAGGCCUGCCAUUGCUUUUUCUCACUUUCUAUACCAUUCAUCCAAUAAGAAUUACAUGGAGAGCUACCAGUUAGCAGACCUGUGUCAUAUCAUGCCGGUAAUUGACAACUAUGGCAAUGCCGUCACGGAACGACAAAGCAUUCUAGUUCCUGCAAAUGGUAGCAAAUGGGUUGGACUGAUGGGCAUAAACCCAUGGAGGAAUGAGAAAUACAUCAAACUGUCAGCAGAUUACAAGUCAGCAGGUCAUUUCGCCGGGAACUACACACCUAAAGAUCAGAUCUUGGAUUUUCUCAAGACAAAGGUGCAGGCCUCAGAUGUGCCGUUCAUACACCCCCCAAAUGCAAGUUUUCCUACAGCAUCGUCACAUCUGACUGUGGACAAUGCAAUCUUGCUACUGCAAUGGAUACGCAAUUUGAAGUCAAAAGGUGUACAACUACCAGCUAGUUUCUUGGCUUCUGUGAAAGAAGGAAGUUGGCUGAAGACAUCAGUCGGAUACAAGCACCCGGCUGAAUCAUUUAUGUCCAGUUCUGAGUGGGGUAAUCUCUUGCAAAAUGGGUCUUCCUGUGUUGAUAUACCAAUGAUCGGUCAACAGUUCUAUCAAAACAAAAUGCAUGCGUACAAGGAGGAACUUCAGGUGAUCGGGGUAAGAUUUGAAUUUGGGGAGGCAUCCGCUUACAUCGGCAGACGGCUCAUGUCGAUGGCUGCAAGCAAUAUGCUGACCAGACAACAUGUAUAUGAGCUGCUUCGGCUGAUUCGGUUUCUUCAACAGAAGGUUCUGUCACCAAGUAAACUAGUCAACAGCGUGAAAGAUGGUCGAUGGAUGAAGAAUACUCUGGGCUACAGGUCUCCUUCUUGUUGUAUAAUAUAUGAUUCAGACUGGGCAGCUGCAUCUUGUAUCAGUACCCAGCCAUUCCUUGAUGUUGGAUUCUAUGGCGAGUCCAUCCUUCACUACAAACAAGAGCUGAAGUUGCUUGGUGUUCAAGUUGGGUUUGAAAACAGUGAAAAGAUUUACAAGCUUGUAAUUGAUAAUUUCAAGUUCAGUUCUUCAUCCAUUACUUCAGAUGCUACUGCACCAAUCCUCAAGUGUAUCCGGUAUGCUAGCCCAUGUGAUGAUUUCUUGAGGAAGCUCAGAGAUUUGAAAUGGCUGAAGACCAACGUAGGAUUCCGUGCUCCUGGUGAAUCUUUUUUUCUGGAUCAGGAGUGGGAGUGCCUUCUAAAGGUGUUCGACGUAGUUCCUAUAGUUGAUUCUUGGUUUUAUGGGAGUAAUAUCAGCCCGUACAAAGAAGAGAUGAAGAAGACAGGGUUGAUCAAAAGAUUUGACCAGGCAUCGAAGGCUGUAGCAAACAUUUUCAAGCAGAUGGUCCUGAAGUCAUCGCUUACAAAGGCAAGUGUCCUGGCUCUUCUAGCUUGUUAUUGGAAGCUGAGAACACGCGACCCAAUUCCUGUUGAUCUUUUCAACUGCAUGCGGAGUGAGAAAUGGCUGUGCACAUCACUGGGAUUCAGGUCACCGUCGGAGGCAAUCUUAUUUGAUGAAGGUUGGCAGUCUCUGUCGCCAAUAGCAAGCUUGCCUUUCAUCAAUGAUGGUGACUCUAAUGGUGGUUUGGGCAAAGAGAUACAUGGUUACAAAGCUGAGCUGAAAGAUUUAGGUGUCACAACAGAAGUGAAGGCUCAUGUUGCUAGGCCUACCGUCACUGGUCUCAACAUUUGUGAUAACCCUGUAGACAUUUCUGCAGCUAGGUUUGUCAUCAGUGGUCUCAACAUUCCCGCAGACCCUGCAGCCAUAUCUGCUGCUACCGUGUUGUCACUGCUUGGAUCUGUCAAGAGCUGGCUAGCCUGUACAGCAACAUUUCCCAAGGAAUUUAUGAAGGAAAUCACUAGCUGCAAGUGGUUGAAGACAACACUUGGAUACCAAUCUCCUGAUGGAAGCAUACUCUUUGACCCAAAGCAGUCUUCCAUCUGCAUAACAGAUGGCCCUUUCAUCGAUGAAUCUUUCUAUGGUUCAGAGAUCGCCUCAUUCAAGGAUGCACUGGCGGCAAUCGGAGUAACUGUGGAUGUUCAAUGUGGGCAUGGCCUUGUUGCUCAGCAUCUGAGGAGCCACAAAGAAACUGCUACCAUCUCCAGGAUCUACUUGUACCUCAAGGAGUGCAGCUGGGGGCCUGAGAAGAACAAAGAGGGUAGUGACUGGAUCUGGAUACCAAAUGAAAAAGGAGGUGGAGAAUGGGUGAGCCCGGUAAGCUGUGUUCUUCAUGAUCAAAACAACCUCUUAAGCCAGCAGAUGCAUGUGUUGGGCAGAUACUAUGAUGACAGGAAGCUGCUGGACUUCUUCUCAUCUAUUCUCCGCGUGAGGCAUGGCCCCAAUGCCGAAGACCACUGCAAGCUCUGGAGCGCAUGGGAGAGCUAUGGCGGUGAGAUAUCCGUAACCAAUUGCUCUGCUUUAUGGCAAUUCACCGCAAGGAACUGGAGCAAGAACACGGAGAAGCUUCUCUCUGGCUGCAUGAAGGUCCCGGUUUGCACUGAUGGGAAGAUCAUCUUAUCGCAGAAGGAGGACGUGUUCAUUCCUGAUGAUCUUCUGCUUAAGGAUCUGUUCGACAAGCUUCCUCGACAAUCCAUUUUUAUCUGGUACCCGCCUUCCAUCUCUCGAGCAAGGCUCAACAACGUGUAUGGCAGCAUCGGUGUUCAGGCAGUAUCCAAAGCCGCCGAGAAGAGCGAUUCUUUUGUUGCCUUGGGCCAGGAUGGCAGUUGCAAAACGGUUGCUGGCCAGCGUGAGGUGAUCAGUGCCGGUCUGGUCCAGAUAGUCCUUGCUUUCCUUGCUGAUCCAGCUCUUGACAUUGCUUCCAAAGAGCGGCACACCAUGGUCUCUCGCCUGCUGAAUGUGAGCAUCCUGGAGACAACGAAGCCGAUCACGAUGGGGUACCGCGUGAAGCUGUCCUCUGGAGAGGCUGUGGACGUGGAGGCCAGCCAGAUGAUCAGGUGGGAGAGGGAGAGCUCAAAGCUGUAUGUUCAGCAAAGCAAUGGUGCUGGUGCUGCAGCUGGUUACAAAGAGAAGAUCAAGUUUGCGACGAACUUUGCUGACGAGGUAGCCCGAGGACUGCUCUUCGAGACGCCGGACCGCAUCCCUUGGCUUGCUGAACUCGUGAAGGUCGGCAGCCUGGUGGACUUCCAGGAUGAUGUUGUUAAGUACCUGCUGAAGUCGAAGAAUCUGCAGCUGUUCCCUGAAGACGAGGCGUUCCUGAACGCUGCAUCACUAGGUCUGUCCCUCCCUGACAAACUCAGAGAGUUCAUCUCACUAUAG